UACGGAGGGUGCAAGCGUUAUCCGGAUUCACUGGGUUUAAAGGGUGCGUAGGCGGGCAGGUAAGUCCGUGGUGAAAUCUCCAAGCUUAACUUGGAAACUGCCGUGGAUACUAUUUGUCUUGAAUAUAGUGGAGGUGAGCGGAAUAUGUCAUGUAGCGGUGAAAUGCUUAGAUAUGACAUAGAACACCCAUUGCGAAGGCAGCUCGCUACACUAUUAUUGUCGCUGAGGCACGAAAGCGUGGGGAUCAAACAGG
rnacentral:rRNA from 1 species